ensembl:lncRNA
CCCAACCCCCAACUCCCCAACAAGGUGAUUUCCGAAAACUCAGCAACUCUGGUUUUGGAAACUUUCUCUUCUUGUGCGUUGCAUUUACUGGUUUUCCGGGUGCCCCCACACCCUCAUCCUGGUAAUUCUAUUUGGAUGGAUUGUUGGUUUAUUUAGGUUUACCCUCCCAAGGCUAAUGUGCUUUUAUUUAUGCCAGCGUUUGUGGUCCAAGCCUAGACUUUCGGGAAGGGCAACCAGGAGGGUGCAUGUGUUCGGAGUGCAGAUUAUUUUCCCGAGAGUUGGCAGGCAAGGAAUAUUCUGUUCACUCGAGCCCCUGACUUCAGGCCCGUCUGUAAGAUGAGAGAAGAGAGGAAAUCCCUAAGUGAGGGGUUUGGGGGAGAAGAGGGUGAGGUCUGGGUGUUUCUUUUCCGUCUUCUAUUUUCCAAAGAGAGGCUGGCGGCCCCUCUCGCAUCCCCCCUCCCCCACCACUUUGCGUCCUGGCUCCUGGAGCUGCUUAGUUGUUGGAGCAAAGCGGGAAGAAACGUGUGUUUGUGUGUGGUGGGUGGGCGGAGGCUCUGAGGAGGUAGGGACUGUGUCUGCUGCGCUGUUUGUUAUAGGAUGUUGCAGUCCUCUUUUGCAUACUGGCAGUGACAAGUUCAGGCUUGUUCAUCUGACACAGUCCUGUGGUCACAACGAAUCUGUCUGAACCAAUGGAGAAGGGUGUUGGAUGGAUCCUCUGAACACUCAGUGGGACUUCCUGAAAGAUUUAUUAGGAGAAAAACCUUCCUGGAAGCAGCAGCAGAGCAAGCCCAGAGUGGCUGGGCUGGGCAGGAGCCUCCUGGCCUGAUCGCCACUGUUUGGGAGCAGUUACAUCCUGGAGGGCUCCAGGACAUUGAUUGUGAAAUGAGGAAGAGCUUGGGUGCACUGAGAGAAGUUUACUAAUGGAUCCUACUGCCUGGCCCUCAGGAUCACAGAGCAGUGGAGGGAAGCCCCCCAAGUUAAAAAUAAUUACACGCCAGAUGCCGUUCCAAGUUCUGUGCCUCAACCAGUUAAAGAUUUUUGGAUCUUUUGCCCAGAAGGCCUGUUCAGAAGGGCAGCUGGAAUUACUACCCGGUGCCCUCAGGCAAGCCAUGGAUGACCUGACUAAGGAGAUGGUGUCUGGCCGGGGCCACCAGGUUGGGGAGAAGAGGCUGCGGACUCGCCUUCCAUGUGGUCCAGGACUUGCUGGCGAAGGACUGUGGGCUUCCAGCAAUACUUUUAACCUGGAAAGAAUAAAAGAGUUGAGGGUGGACCCCUCAGCUGCUGCUGCUGACAUCUUAUCACUUAAGCACAUAUUUUUCUGAAUACCAGAAAUUAAGAGGAAAUUUAGAAACUACAUUCUGAAGUUCAUGAACCAUUGCUCUUGGAAGAUGGACUUUUGAAAAAUUCCCUUGAUGGCUUUUAGGAGGCUGUGGAUAACUUUAUAUUAUUCCUGAAAAAUUUCCUGAGCUUUCCAUGUCAAAUAUUUAGUUUUAUGAGGGAUAGAGAACUAAGAUUGAUUGAGCCCAUCUUGUGUGCUGGGCACAAUGGUCCUUUCACUUUGGUUUUGCCUUUUGCAGAGUUAUCCUGGGAGGCAGAGAAAUGAGUAUCCCUGCUUUACAGAUGAGGGUGACCCCCGUGGGGAGGGCCUUGCUCAUACCCAGGAUUCACACUGGGUCCCAGCUUUUGUAAGUGUGGGGUUGCCAGCGGUGAUAAGUUCAUGUAUUGCUCUCUUGACUUUGUUUUCGGUGGGAUUGUGGAUAUCAGAUAAAAUAAUAUAUGUAUAUGUAUCAUAUCUGUCCCUAUGUAAUAUAUUAACAAGACUGGAUUUUGAAACUGAAGCCCCAAAACUUUGACCACCAAUGCAAAGAGCCAACUCAUUGGAAAAGAUCCUGAUGCUAGGAAAGAUAGAGGGGAGGAGGAGAAGGGGGUGACAGAGGAUGAGAUGGCAUCACCAACUCAAUGGACAUGAGUUUGAGCAAACUCCACGAGGUGGUGAAGGACAGGGGAGCCUGGCAUGCUGCAGUCCAUGGGGUUGCAAAGAGUCGGACACGACUGAGUGACUGAAGAACAAAAUGCGCAUAUCAUGUGUGUACAAUUACUUACUGCAUCACAGUUUGCAUGGAAACCAAAAGCGUUUUCAAAGCAGUUGUCUUGAGGGGCUAUAGGCAGAUGUCAACAGUGGGUCUAUACUCAGAAAGUAUUGGGAACAUGUAGUUUGAAGGUUUGUCAUUUGGAGGACUGUUGAGAAAUUAGAGCAAGUGACUCAGUCCAAACCAUGUGGGAUCAAAACAAGAUCUGAUUCCAAUGAUAAUAGUUCUAAUA